AUGGGGUGCUUUUCCUGCUGCGGAGCCGAUGAUGUUGGCAAGAAAAAGAAGCGCGAUGAUCCUUAUGUUCCGGUCCCUGCCCCAGGGGGUAACUAUGGUUAUAACCGGGGGCCAGCACCAACCAAUGCCAUCCGUACCAGUAGAAGCCAGCCAAUUGAAGUACCAGCCAUUCCCCUAGACGAAAUUAAGGAAAUAACCAAGAACUUCAGCAGUGAUGCUGUUAUAGGAGAGGGUUCAUACGCAAGAGUUUUCCUUGGUGUACUGAAGGAUGGCAAGAAAUCUGCAGUGAAGAGGCUUGACUCCAGCAAACAGCCUGACCAAGAAUUCCUUGUGCAGGUCUCGGCUGUUUCAAGACUCAAGCAUGACAAUGUGAUCCAACUUCUCGGGUACUGUGCUUUAGGGAGCACCCGUAUUCUUGCUUAUGAGUAUGCAACAAGGGGCUCCUUGCAUGAUGUUCUCCAUGAGCCAUUCAAGACUAUAGCAAAGAUGAUGAAUCUACGGCUCGUGGUCAUUACAGGUAAAAAGGGCGUCAAGGGAUCCCAACCAGGACCAGUCCUAUCCUGGAUGCAGCGGGCGAGGAUCGCUGUAAGCGCCGCAAGAGGGCUCGAAUUCCUCCACGAGAAGGCAGAGCCACCUGUCGUCCACCGUGAUAUCAAGUCCAGCAACAUACUGCUCUUUGACAACGAUGUUGCAAAAAUAGGAGAUUUCGAUGUGUCUAAUCAGGCCCCUGACAUGGCUGCACGCCUUCAUUCUACACGUGUUCUUGGCACCUUUGGUUAUCAUGCUCCUGAGUAUGCAAUGACUGGGCAGCUAAGCGCAAAGAGCGAUGUAUAUAGCUUUGGAGUGGUGUUGUUGGAGCUUUUAACUGGCCGCAAACCAGUUGAUCAUACACUUCCCCGUGGCCAGCAGAGCCUUGUGACAUGGGCUACACCAAGGCUAAGUGAAGACAAGGUGCGGCAAUGUGUAGAUCCAAAGCUUGGUGUGGAUUACCCUCCAAAGGCUGUCGCCAAGAUGGCUGCAGUGGCUGCCCUGUGCGUGCAAUACGAGGCAGAUUUCCGGCCAAACAUGAGCAUCGUCGUCAAGACUCUGGCCCCGCUGCUGAACACCCGGACAAGCAACCGACCUGCCGGCUCGGCCGCCGUCGCCGUCGAGUGA
rnacentral:rRNA from 1 species